rnacentral:rRNA from 1 species
UGGGGAAUAUUGGACAAUGGGCGCAAGCCUGAUCCAGCAACGCCGCGUGGAGGAUGAAGGUCUUCGGAUCGUAAACUCCUGUCAGACGGGACGAAGGUAGUGGGGUGAACAAUCCCGCUGCUUGACGGUACUGUCAGAGGAAGCCCCGGCUAACCCCGUGCCAGCAGCCGCGGUAAUACGGAGGGGGCGAGCGUUAUUCGGAAUUAUUGGGCGUAAAGGGCGCGUAGGCGGCUGUACAAGUCAAAGGUGAAAUCCCUCGGCUCAACUGAGGAACUGCCUUUGAAACUGUACGGCUUGAGGCCGGGAGGGGGUAGCGGAAUUCCCAAUGUAGCGGUGAAAUGCGUAGAUAUUGGGAGGAACACCAGUGGCGAAGGCGGCUACCUGGACCGGUUCUGACGCUGAGGCGCGAAAGCGUGGGUAGCAAAC